CCUGAGGCCAGAGUGAUCAAAAUAUAAAUGAGUUUCAGAUAAAAUAAUGCUAUCACUGAAAAGAGCUUGGGCCAGUGACAAGUCAGGCAAGAAGGCCCGGAAGGGAGGUGAGGGAGCCCCACCCAGCCAGAUUGCUCCGGAGCCCGGAUUUCUGCCGUGGACCUGCCAGGGACGAGGCUGGCGAGGGGAGACUAGAGAUGGUGCUGCCAGCAUGUCAGGGAGCUAAACCAGCCGCCAGGGCCGCUCCACCUCUGCACUCGCUGUUAGAGAACACAGGAAAUUUCUUCUGUUUAAACUGAUGACAGGGCAAAACUGACACAGCGAAUUACUGCCAGGCAGCGGUUCUCAAUUACAGCAGCUGAAGAUGACACCUGCCUGGUAGUGCGAAAAAACAGAACGAAAUCUCACUGAUUUCUGGGUUCCACAUGCAGAGGUCCUGAUUUAUUUGGUCUUCAGUAAAUAGGCACCUGAACAGAACUGUUAAGUUACAAAAGGGAAAAGCAUGUUUUCCUCUCUCCUCGGCUUAUCCUUCCAUCUAAUCAGCUCAAGGCAACCACUGCUGGGCUUCUUGGGAGCCCUCGAGAAACAGAUGAUGUUUAUGGACUUCGCUGAACAGAGAUUCUUCCACAAAUGGCCCUGCGCUGUCCUCACGACUCUGCAUGUUGCUCUGUCACUGAGACGCCCUGCAGCAUUUCUGUGUCAGGACACGUAGUCCUGCCGUGUCUGUUUAACAGCAGGGGGCACACCACUCACUUAACCAGGUAACCACUGGUGAGCUUGUGGGACAGUGUUACCACGGAUGGG